CCUAAGAGUUUAAAAAGUUUUUUUCCCCUAGAAACUAAAUGAGAGUGUAUGUAGGGGGAAAAAAAUAUCAUCUCUGGCUAUAUUAUUUUACCAUGCCAAACAGUGGGGGAAGCCUUACAGGGGGUUGCUGUAUGGUGGAAAAGGGUUGGUUUUCUGUGCUCGCUUUAAUGCCUGGACCUUUGUUCUACCUUUUAGCUGUGACCAUUUAGUAACCACUUGACUCACUUUGCCCUCAGCAGGAUGUUGCAUGUAGCUUCACUGUGUUGAAGAACAGUUGAAAUUAAAAGUAUAAUUUAAUGAUUCAGUUGGUAACAGACAGAUUUCCUGAUAGCCUGCCUGUGGAGUGGACCUUUGUAAGCACCCUUCUGUACAGGAGCGCUUCCUUAGACAAAAACUAGCUCGGAGGCAGGACGCAGUAAGUUCCCAAGUCAUCUUGUCUGCAGUCUUUAAAUCCUGUGUGUUGAAUCUCUACUGAGUAUUCAGCCAACAGCAAACUGAAAGAAAACUCUUUUAAUGCAGAGUGGUUUGUACCUUUACUAGGGAAGCAGAUUUAGAUAUCUUUGGACAGAGGGCCCUGGAAAAUACCUGAGGUGGUCUCUUCUCGGAAGAGUUCAGGAUUUAAACAUACAGAGCAGACUCGAGGUGGAGAGGAGGCUGGCUCCCAUAGGAAGGUGACAUGCUUGAAGGAGGCACAAGGGGCCACUAGCACAGCUGGGAUUACACCCCUGGCCCCUGUGCAGCGCCUGUGCACUGCAACAGUAGAAAUCCUUGCUGGCUUUGCUUGUUGUGGUUUGAUGACUGCAUUCAGAUGUGGAGGAACAUUAUUAUCUACAAGCUGUCGUGAUGGGUAAAGAAAGUGUAACAACCAAUUUUGUGUACCCAGAAGAACUGAAAAAGCCUCCCGAGCUUCCCUUCAGCUCAGGAGAAGGAGGUGCCUUGGGGGGGAGGCAGGCAGCUGAAGCCAUGGGCUGGGGCAGAAAAAGAAGAGAAAGCGUGUUGUGGCUGAAUGUGUCGGUGGAGUUUAUUUCUCUGGACUUCAGCUCUGUUCCUGCAAGGAAAUUUUUCCUAUCAAAAACCCAAGCAAUUCCCCUGAAAGCCCUGUUUCGGCAGACAGAGAUCUCUCAACAUGAUUGCAGUGUCCAGCUACAGGUCCCAGCCAGACAGUGGAGCAAGGGAAGUGGAGGUUUCAGUUUGAGAGAAAAUUCUCUGUUGCCCUGGGGAAAGAGCAACAGGUCUUUCUGCUUGGUCUACAAAAACAGAUUCAUUGGACCUGACUCUCCUGUUAGGCAGGGAUAGGAUAAGAAAUGAUGGAUUUGAAUUGUGGUGGGAAAAGAUGUAGGUUACAUGUCAGGAAAUUCUUCCUGCAGUGAGGAUGGUUUAUGGAAAAGCUUUUUUUUUUUUUUAAUAGUUUUGUUUGAUGUAGAAGGUGAUGCAGUCGUUGGGAGCUACUGAGGUAGACCUUACUGGUGCUCCUGCUUCAUCAGAGUCUGUAGAAAAUCAGAUCAGAUGAAAUCCUGUUUUGAGUGUCUCAUACCAGGCUUAAUUCUUUCUGCUGAGGCUCUCUGUGAAAGAAGUCAAGUGUCCUUGACUAUAGCAGCCCUCUCUGGAGAGAGAAUUCUUUUGUACGUCCAAUUGUAACUGUACCCUCUGGCGCUCUGAAUCUGGCCCAUUCCCAAAAUGAUGCAAAAAUGUGUACACUCCACCACAACAGAAAUAAUAACAGGAGGCAAAGAUUCAAGAAGAACAUUGUUCUUAGGAAAGCCUUUUGGUAGCCUUCAUUUACAGCUAGUUUGCAGCUGUUUUUUUAGAAAGAAUAAAUGUACUGUAAUGGGAGUGAGUCAGCAUGGAUAUAUUGCAGGUAAAUCAUGUCAGACUAAUUUGAUCGCUUAUGCUAAUGAAAUAACUAUCAGUCUAGAUAGCAUAAAUCUAUCUGGUUUUCCAGAAGGUUUUAACAAAAUUUUGCAUGAUGGAUUAUGGUACAAACCCCCUAAAUGUAGGUUAAAAUAAUCCAUUAUUGAAAAGGAUAAAAUACUGGCAGGAAGACAGAGCCGCGGCUUGGAGUGAAAGGUGGGUGUCAGUGGGGAGGUGGCAGAGGCAUUGAGUCCUGCAAGAUCUUCUGCUGAGGUGUUUUAAUAUUUUUAUUAAAGAUGAAUGCAACACCACAACGAGUAGGAUCAUUAAAUUUCAGAUGACACAAAGCUCAAGGGAUUAGGCAAGCCUCAACGGUCUUUCUUUGCAGAGAAAUUGCUUUUUGGCAGUGUUAUCUUGCUAAAUUAUGUAAGUGGGCUCAAAAUUGCAAUACGAUUUUGACUGGUACAAGAUCUUUCCAUGACAAUUACAGUACCUUUGACAGAGAACUGGAGGUGUGACCUGGACUGCAGUCUUGUCAGUGGAGAUGGGCAGUUUGUAUCACAAGGUCUGCUGGAGGUAUGGGGGUGAGGAAUGACCGGCAGGAGGAGUGAGAGAGAUUUUUCCUUCAUUUCUGGAUUUUUUGAGUCCUUUAUGCACUCUUGGUGUAAACAUUUGCACAGCAGCAUUUGAUAGAAAGUUCUGUAACAAAUAAUACAUUUGAUGGAAUGUAUUAUUGUUGUAUAUAAAAUAUAUAUUGUGUUUGGCCAUGCUUUAUUAUAGAAUAUAAAAUAUGUAUUCUGUUUGUAGCUGAUGUAGCAAUUAUAUCAGAGAAUUUAUAUUUGUGUGAGCAAGGACUAACGUAAGCAUGCAGCUGUUCCUGAUUACCUGCAGAUAAAGGAGGGGGAACUGGAUAGGAACAAAACAUUGCUGUUCUCAUGCAGGCACGUUCACAUGCUGAAGAGUUAACCAGAAAGAGAUGCUACACUUCUAGUCCCUAGCCUGUUACAGUACACAGCGAUGUGGAAGUGUAGCUGUGUCUAUGUGUAUGGUUAGCUCUUAUCACUUUUAUUCCUGUCACAGCCCUCAUCCGAGCCACUGACCGCCAUGCUCAUCUGGGUCUCUGCUUUUAGGUGCUCUUCAUUACACGACAUCUCGGCAGCACUGUGCCAGUCUGGGCAAGAAAGGCUCUUCCUCCGCUUCAGCCUGCCGCAUCGCUCCCACCGAGCGUGAGACAGCUGAGCUGUCCAGCAGACAACGCUCAGGGAUUUCCAGCAGCUUUCCGACCAGUUUUUGAGGGUAAUGCGAUGCCUCUGCUGCUCUGCUGAUGGUGCUACUCGCACUCAUCUUUCUGCCACUCUGUGGAAAAAAAGUUCAGUCUUUGGAAGACGUACGAUAACCAGCAGCUGAUUUGUUGCAUGAGGUUCUGAGGAAGGUAAGAGUGAAAAUACAGGAGAGUGGUUUUUCCUCUAUUUUGGUCUCUGAUUUAAAUCAGCUUCUGAGGCAGCAUUCAGAAGAGUGAUGGUUUUGGAUUGAGAUUCCUGCAGUAGGAGCAAUCUUUUGGGGGUAGCCACCACCUGCAUUUCUGAGUUGGCGUAGUUGUUAAAAGGUGACCAGUUACACUGACAGUACACCCAGGUGCCAUGUUCCUGAUUUCUCCGCCACUAAGAAGAUGAGUCACAAAUCUCCAGACAUCUGUUAUCAUUAACAGAAGGGCAAAAAUAUUAAAAUGUAAACCAUAAAAUAAAUCUGUUGAAUAAAUCAAAGAUAGAACCGAAGGAGAAAUAUGAAAUCCCUGUGUAGCAGGCAUAACUCAUUCUCGCCGACAGUUCAAAAUCAACUGUAGCAGGAGAAUUUAAUGAUACCAUUGUUUAGUGAAAUUAGACAUGACACUAGCCAGUUACCUUUUAUUUUGGUUGGUUAGGAUUUGCUAUUGUUUGACACUCAUUAGAAAUCACAGUAACCUGUUUUUAGGGCAGUCAAAUUAAGAUUCCCUCUCUCUGUACAAGAUUACUCAUCAUACCACAGCUACAUGGUAAUUGGAAAAUAACUAGUGAAUGAGUAUGCCUUAUACAACCUGUCAUCUGAGCAUGUCAGGUAACGUACCAGAGGUGAUCCUGCAAAGAAAUUGGUUGUACACACAACAGCUAAGAAAAAAACUGUUGCAAGAGAUUAACGCUACAAUCACUUAUCAGAUGCAAAAAUAAUUAUUAAUCCUUAAUGACACUGGUAAUUUCUUUAUGGAAAUUCACCUGCCCUUCUGUUUCCUUCAAUGCCUCCAGCAUGAGAACACGUUUUUCGACCUGAACCUCAGCCCUGGCUUUUCUUUACUCUAGAAAUUACUGUGAGUGAGUUUAAGAAGCCCUAGGGUUUGCUGUGCCAAGCCAGACUUCGAUGGAGAAGACCUGUGAACUUGCUACACUUGCAAGCAAACAGGGUGAGCUGCUAGCUCCAGGUGUAUUGCCUUCUGUCUCCUGCCAGAGGAAACCUUGCCUAGCUAAACCAUGUAGCGUGGGGGAAAAAUUGAGCUAAUUCUUACAAAGGGGCCAUGUACUGCAAAGCGUCAUGAAGUCUUGCAGGGAGAUGAGCAAAUGCAGGGAGAGGUUUAAUAGUGGUUGUGCUUGCAUUAGCAAGCAGCAAGGUGCAGUAAGAGCAGCUUUGGGGAGUGAAACAUUUGGUGCUGGUCCACUAUGUGCAUCCUGGGUGAUUUGUUUGGGAUAGUUCUAAUCUGGCCCAGUGGCUUGGAAUACCCAGUAGCACUGGGACACGCUAGGUGAGUUUCUGGAGCACACUUUGCCAUUUAGUUGUGGCUGAAAGGAAUCCAAUUCUGCAGUGUGGACCAAAGUGCAGUAAGGUCACCUCAAAGGGGCUGCCCUAGUCCAAAAUAAGACAAAUGCCAAUACAGCUGUAGAAGAGUCUUCGGGAAGCCAGUCAAACCAGCCUCCUGUUCCUGGAAGUGCCUAAGGAAAGAUAAUCUGAACAUGCACAGCCUGUUUUGUUGUUUUUAUACCAUGUUCACUCUGAAAUGCUUUUGUUCUAGGGAAGCAAUACUUUGCAAUCAGGAAGUUGCUUGUUUUGUGAUUAGCAUUGCUGCUUCACCAGAGGGAAGGGACGGCACUGUCUGGACAGACUUCGGAUCUGCUGAGGGCAUUUGCUUCUGGUACUCCACCCAAGAUCCAGUCUACAACUGGAAAAGUUGCCUGAUUCCCAUGGGUGACUUUGGAUUUAGGAGCCGAGAGAUGUGUGGGGCACUGUGUCAGGUGAGGCUGGUCCAAAGCGUAGUUCACCCAGUAGCUGUGACAAGAGUUUCCAGUCUCAGUUUGGCAGGAAGAUGUGCAGGUAAGAUUAGCAUUAUCAGUUUAUUCUCUACAAUGCAUUCAUUUGUUUCAAACUGGAAAACACACUCCUUGCAUCACCAUGCUCAGCUCUACAUGUUGCCUGCAUAUUCAAACAGAAGAUGGACUUUCACUUUUGAUAGUUCAGCUUACAAAACGAAGAGAGAGAGGAAUAAAGACCCUUCUGCAUCAGUGUGAUGAUUGAUCACUUUUUAUUUUUGUUCAGAUGCCAGGUCUGGAUUUGAAAUAGAAAAGUAAUACACUGUUUCACGAAAGUUACUUCAGGAUGGGGCCCUGAAGGAGGAAUGCAGAGUGCUGUAAGACGGGGCUGGAGAGAUCAGACAGGAACCAGGAGAACAAAAGCCGCCACUGUUAGAGAUCUGGGAGCUGGUGCUGGAUGAAGCGGGGCCCCCCGCUGUUCGCUGCUCACUGUUGCUGUGGCCAGGCUGGCAUCACUGUGCAAGGGGAAAUGCAGGCGAAGAGCUAAUCUAUUGAAACAGAAGGACAGACUUAGCUUGAGAAGAUGAGCAUGCUGAGCUGGUUUCUGCUCUGUUACACCCUGAAACCUCGCUGAUAUCUGUAGAGCUCCCCAGCUGUAACAAGGAGCGGACGGGGGUUCUUUAUGCAUUUUCUCCAGAGCCAGACUGGUGAGGAUUUGGUGAGGACUGGAGAAACUGAUACUGAGAUUUGCAGCUCUGCAGGAGGGAAUCUGUGUUUGCUUAAUUUGGGAAGAGACAGUCAUAUAACUUACAGUAUGUAAAGCUUAAGCAGUGGAAGUAUCCCCCAGAGCACAGUGCAGAGUUCGAGGCAGCUAGGAAAAGUCUUUCAGGCUGCCUGAGUCUUUCCACAAUGCUUCCUCCAAGUAGUCACAGAGAAAUGCCUGCUCUGAACAGCUUGAGCAAGAACUCGGCUCUGGGACCAGCUGGGCUUACAACAGUCUUGUUUUGUCUUACAGCCAGUGUAAUUUCUCCCAGAAGGUGAAUCAAAGAGUGGCUUCUGAAACACAGCUAAUCCCAUAAUUUCACCUAGUUCCCUGGCAAAUGCUUCCAGUACUGAAUGGCCUCUGCUGCUGUUUGUGUCUUGUUUCAAGGUUAAAUUUCUAAUUUCCAGCUUUUGCUGUUGUCUUAGAAGAAGCACCAUGGUAUCCCAAAGCCCUCUCCCACAAUUGCCUUCCCCUAUAUUGGUGCCAGGAGCAGAAAUGAGAUCCCUUCUUAGCCACAUCUUUGGUAAGCCAGCAGGCCUGGGCUCCUUUGGAAGCAUGCAGGACCCAGCUGCUGGGUCUUUUUGUGUUGCUUUGCCUGAAUUGCUUCUGUGUUUUCUCUUUCUCCUUGAAGGGAAGAGCACAGACUGGGCACAGCUUUCCAGCAGAUUGUCACUGGUGCCACGAAUGAGAAGGAUCACCCCCUGCUGGGGUCUGUGAUUGCCCUUUCUGAACACGGAGGGAUCGGAGAUGUCCCUUAUAGCAGCUUGCACUGCAGCUGGGGCUAAAGCAGAGCUCUGGGAUGUCCUCUAAGUCCUUUUCAAGGCAACUGCUUUCCGAGGCAGCAUCCUGUAAGUGUAACCUGCAUUUCUGGUUUCAGAUGCCUUACCUUGCAUUUGACUUUUUACAUCAUGUUUCACUGGAGUGUGGCCAACUCCCAGUUACUUCAGAUUGCUGUGUAUUGAUAGUCCAGUCUUGCUUGUUGUUUCCCUACCGCCGGUCUUGUUGGCAUCUGCAAACUUUGCCACAACAAGGAUUUUUAUAGCGUCAUUUAGAUCGCUGAUAAAAAUAUCGAAUAAAAAACGGUAAUAGGAGUUUCACUCUUCUUUUAUCCCAAAUAUUUUUGCCCAGCAUAAUAUUGCUGUACAUUUAUUGAAUUGUGGUUAUUGGAACAUCCAGUAAAUAAGCCUUUGAAGAAUAGCCAGUUUCCAGAAAUGCUUUCCACCUUAAAUGUGUAUUCCCAGUCCAUUAUGCCAACAAGUGAGGUUAAGGCUUGGGAAAACAGAAAUGUUAAAUGCAAAGGUGUGUGCGUCACUGCCUGGUGCCAGAUUGUUUGCACAAGUGUAACCAGAUCGUGCCCCGUGGUAUCUAGGCAACUUGCCGGGUUUUAGAUCAGCAAUUAACUCUUCUUUGGCUUUCAGAGGUCCAGCAGAAGGUUUUCCCAUGUGGACUGCAACAGUUUCAGAGCUGAAGGCAUUAUUGUUUCUGAAGAACAGUGGUUCGUGGCUUUGUGAGAGGUCUGGGAGCUAGCUGCUGGGUUGAAACCCACCCCAGUAAUGCAGCUUUGCUUCCUGCCCUCCUGGAGAGGAGGAAGGAGUGACAGCCAUGCUGGACCUUCUCCUUGUGGUGGUGCCCUCCUUGUCAAACAGUGCUCAUACACAUUUUGAAUGUUUCUUUUCCUGUAGAGAGGCCAUUGUGGAGCCAGUGCCAGUUAUCAACCUGGAUCUUGGUGGGGAACAGGGCUGCUCUGAUUGCUGUGGAGUGAGCUGGAUCUACAAACUUAUCCAGAGCCAGGCGAGGGCUCGCUGAUGCUCGGUGGCACUGCACAGGAAUUGGGAGGAUAACGCUGCAAAGCUGGCCCAAAGUGUGCACCCUGUUAGCACAACGCCGUGCCCAGGGAGGGUAUGGAGAGGAGCGUUGACAACUGGAGCCCAAUCAGAUGCCAGCGGGGAGCAGAAGGACAGAGGGUGUUCUGGAGAUCUGCCCAGGGAAAAGCUCUCUGCAGAAGGCGCCGUAGCACCUUGCCCGGAGCGUGAAGUCAGCUGCAGUUUAUCUUAAAUGACCUUUUGCUGACUUCCAUCUUGCAAGGUAUUUCUCCCUUUUCCUCCCAUCCUCCUUUCCCUUCCUGCAUAGCCCUCUGAGAGAAAACAGCUUUUCUCCUUUUUAAUAGGUGGCUUUGGUGGGUGAGAUGGAGCAGGGGCAAAUCCUGUGAGCCUGCGAGUUCCCAUGAAGCACAAGCUGCUCUGAAGAACCUGCUCUUUAAGGAGAACUGGAAGAGGCAAGGAAGGAGUGGCUCUUUAUCCCACCAAGGGUGUUCUCCACGAUUCCUGCUGGGACCACUCGCUGUAUGUUCUUCAGAACAUCAGGACAAGCACUCUGUAUCCUUCUCCCUUCUUGGUUACUUCUAAAUGAAAGAGAAAGUAAAGCGGCUAUUAUCUGUCCAGUUUUGAGAUAAACAUGACUCCUGUUUUAUGCUUCAACUGACCUCACCUGUAACACCACGGCAGUUUGUAGAUGGCCAACAGAGAGAUCUUGCACUUACGCAGAUGCAUAUAUGUCCCCCAACACGUAUCCACCACUGGUGAAGGAUUUGUUGGUAUAAGAAAUCCUGGAGGAAAAUGCCCACAGUGAUGAAUUCACAGAAAAUACAGAAAAUACGAUACCCAGAUAGCCAGAAAAAAGGACAUUCAGAGCACCUUUACUGAAGGAGAGAAAGUAGAAGAGCCUUUGUGCAUGCCCUGCUUCUUGUACUCUUAAGCUGAUUCUAAACGCAGGGCACUGUUAGGCACUCAGGGAGAGCUGUGCCAAGGCAGAUGAGCAUCCCCAGUCUCGGCCACAACACUUGUAGCAUCAGAACCUGCUCGCUUGACUGCAUCCAGAAUCAUCUCCAGCACACGCAGAGGCUUCUUCCUUCUCCCUCCCAGGCUCUGCAAAGGCAAAGCAGUUGCUGGCGUGCUGGGCCGUGAUACAGCAAGCUGGGUGCCCUCGCGGCACGGGCGGGCAGGCGGUGGCAGGAGGGCCCCAUCACGCUCGGGUUCCUGCUUGUUCCUCCUGCAGAUGCAGAGACAGGCGGGAGGGAGCACGGGGUGCCCCAUGGCGCAGGCAGUGGCUCCUCUUUUUGCCGUUGGUUUGCAGCAAACCGAGGAGGGAGCUAUGUCAAACACACAGCACUCCCAGACAGCUCAGCACCACACACGCCGGGAGCAGGUCUGAACACAGCUCGAUGGCAGUUCUCUGCUCGGCCUGCCAAGGCUCCGGCUCCAAACUGCUUCUCGGCAUCCUCCACCUUCUUUUUGAAAAGUAACAAAGACAUCUGAUUUCCUCCCACCCCUUCUCCGUGCGCCCCUCUGCUCCCUCCCUCCCCCUCCCUGGCACUGGGGUUAUUUAUACAGAAUGUGGAAACAAUUUGCAGGAAAGCGAACAAUGUAACCCAGAGUGAGGGAAGGGAGACAAGUUUAGUGUGCACACUGAGUGGCCUAGAAGCGAGGCGCUGUGCUUUUCGGGUGAGAGGGAGCAGACUGUUUUCCUUUCUUUCUGCUCCCCUCUUUCAGUGUCUCACUGCGUCACUUUGUCUUGCCAGAGCCAGGUCCAAACCAGAGCAACCAGAUCUGACUGCGUGAUUUGGAGGAAGUUCAGGUUGGAUCCCCUCCCUGCACCAGAGCUUGUGCUUAAUCCUCUCGGAGGUUUUGCUCUCGGAUCAUUUCUGCUCCCGGUUCCCAACACAACUGUGAGCAAUAUCCUGAACAGAGCAUUCCAGCUUCAGGUGGAGAAAAGCAACAGAAGCAGAUGGGCUUGUAAACAGCAGAGAGCCGGCUGUCCCACAGAGGUCCUUGCAGAACAGAGAGGAGCAGAAGGGGAGCCGCGUGUGGCUGCACAUGUUCCAUUAGCGGAGUGCCGGUGAAGAGAAGCAGGGUGCAUCAGCCCCGUGUGGAGGUGUGGGGAGCAGCUCUGUCGGUCCUGCUGCCUCUGCUCUCGCAGGGAGACUACUGUGGAUCCUGAGGAGUCUAGCAGUCACCAAGAUAAGAGACUUGUGAAAGAUGGUUCCAGGUUUUCAUAGAGGAUGUUUCAGUGAAGGGGACGUUCUGCUGCAUUCUGGUGGAGGGCUGUCAGAGCAGGCAGAGCCAGGAUGCUAAAGCCCAGCACCACAAACUGACAUGACUGCCUGGGAUUGGUGACAUCUAGAGUGAUACGUGUUGGAUCAUCAGAAGAGAGUGGGAGCAGCACAUCUUGGCUUCGGGAACCUAAAAAUAGGCUGUGGAUUCCUCACCUGUGUCACCCUACCCACUCUGGGACCAUGAAGUACUCCAAAUGGGGAUUUUGUCCACGCUGACUGCUGAAUUGGCAUUCACAUGUUCUUGGUGUUAUCACUUGAGUUCCCCUUUCUUUUUCCAAAGGUGGGGACUGGUUUCUGUUGCUCACCCCACUGCCCUGUUCCAUUGCCUGUGUUUUUUUGCAAACUGCUUCUGAAUGCUGCAGACCUUUAUCCUACUCUGCUCUGUUGCAGACUUUCAGAUUAUUGGACCUGCCUUCUCUCAGUCAGCAUUAGAGUAGACACAGAGACUUUCCAGUGCUGUUUUAACAGAUUGGUUCACUAACCUCAGACCCACGGUUUGAAAGGUGGUCUCCAAGUCAGCUGCUGGCAGUGCAAUAGAUCCAGUACUGGACUUACUGUUGCUCAUGGUAAUUGUGAGUCAAAAAUCUACUUUGGAGCGGUUUGUUCCAAAACCCAGUCAGGAUCUGGUCUAUUAUUUGAGUUCAGUUUGUCAUUCAACAGUGUAAAUACAUUAUCCAUGUUAGAGAAUCAUAGAUCUUUCUGUGCUCAGUCCUUCUUUAUAUACAUCAAAUCUGUUAUUUUUAGGUGAAGUGCAAGAUUUCUUACAUAUGUCACGUCUAAAACAGUCCGUAUUGUUCACCUGCAUCAGAUGAAAAUCAGAAAAGCCUUUCCUGCGUCCCAGCUGGCUGGAGCCAGGAACAAGACUAACUUCUUCAUCUGCCUGGUUUGGAAAUUGCUCACAGUGAGGAAUUUGCCUCACACAGUGUUGGAGUUCUCACUGCUCGCUUCCUGCAGCAGGAGCCUGGGCACAGCAUGUGCUUCUUCAGGAGUCUUCUGGGGGCACUGUAUCCCCAUGGGGUAUUACAUUUGUCAGAAACUGUAUGCAACACUUUAAAAAAAAAAAAAGAGAGAGGGAGAGAAUAAGAGACUGGGAGUUCUAUGUGAGUCUUUUUUUUUCCUGAUAUUUUUCUUCGGUAUAUUUUUGCAGCUUUAUUUUUAAGCUAAGGAUUACACAUGAGCUCUGCUCUUUAGUAAAGACACACAUUAACACCAGUAGUAGCAGUAAACAUCAAAAGUGUGUCAGUAAUACUGUGUCUUCUCCUACGCUGUCUUCUCCAAAAGUAACACUUCCUAGAAUGACCUGGCAGCAGGAGAAGUAUUGGCUCACGGCAGAUAUCGUGACGACAACCCCAGAAUGACCAGGUGACUGUUACCUGCUAUCUUGUGAGUGGCUCGAGGUCAGAAGGAAAAAGCUGGACUACCAUUUGAUAGGGUGGCUUAGACAAAACUAACAGAUCGUGAAGCAAGCAGCAGCCUGAAAGAAGGCUUUGGAGGCAGAUUGCAGCCAUUUGGGGCUAGAAAAACAUUAGAUUUGUGAGAAAGCUUUUCUUCCUCUGUCAAAUAUAUCUUAUUUGUUACCUGCCUCAGAGGGCUCACAUCUGAAAAAUGCCAUUUCUUUUCUUCCUGGAAUGUAAAUGUUCAUUCUAGAUGGUAUAGGCAUAAACCUCAAUUUCUCUUCAGCCCUCAAUGGAGGUUUUUGAAUGUGGAAUGAGAGUCUUUUUGAGAAAUGGA